rnacentral:rRNA from 1 species
UCCGGUUGAUCCUGCCAGAGGUUACUGCUAUCGGUGUUCGACUAAGCCAUGCGAGUCAGAUGUUCUUCGUGAACAUGGCGGACUGCUCAGUAACACGUGGAUAACCUGCCCUUAGGUUUGGCAUAACUCCGGGAAACUGGAGAUAAUUCCGAAUAGGUCAAAUAUGCUGGAAUGCUUUUUGGCCAAAAGACUUCGGUUGCCUAAGGAUGGAUCUGCGGUCUAUCAGGUAGUAGUGGGUGUAACGUACCUACUAGCCUACGACGGAUAUGGGUUGUGAGAGCAAGAGCCCAGAGAUGGAUCCUGAGACAUGAAUCCAGGCCCUACGGGGCGCAGCAGGCGCGAAAACUUUACAAUGCGGGAAACCGCGAUAAGGGGACACCGAGUGCCAGCAUUUAUGUUGGCUGUCCACAUGUGUAAACGGCAUGUGUUAGCAAGGGCCGGGCAAGACCGGUGCCAGCCGCCGCGGUAACACCGGCGGCCCGAGUGGUAAUCACUUUUAUUGGGUCUAAAGGGUCCGUAGCCGGUUUGAUCAGUUCUUCGGGAAAUCUGACAGCUCAACUGUUAGGCUUCCGGGGAAUACUGUCAGACUUGGGACCGGGAGAGGUAAGAGGUACUACAGGGGUAGGAGUGAAAUCUUGUAAUCCCUGUGGGACCACCAGUGGCGAAGGCGUCUUACCAGAACGGGUCCGACGGUGAGGGACGAAAGCUGGGGGCACGAACCGGAUUAGAUACCCGGGUAGUCCCAGCCGUAAACGAUGUUCGCUAGGUGUCAGGGGCGGUGCGACCGCUUCUGGUGCCGUAGGGAAGCCGUGAAGCGAACCACCUGGGAAGUACGGCCGCAAGGCUGAAACUUAAAGGAAUUGGCGGGGGAGCACUACAACGGGUGGAGCCUGCGGUUUAAUUGGAUUCAACGCCGGG